CCAACAAUACCAGAACUCUACAGAUGAGUGGCAUUUACCAUUGAAUUUAGGACCCAUUUGGAUAAUCCAGGAUGAUCUUAUCUCAUCUCAAGAUCCUUAACUUCACUUUAUCUACAAUGACCCUAAUUUCACAUCAUCAAAACUUCAUGUACAAUACCACCAAUUGUGCCGCUGGUAUUUUAUGCACAAAGUUGAGGUCAACAGAAUGAAUUUUGAUGCUCUGUUCACUACACGAACAAAAAUUGUGAGGAAAAGAAUGAUCAGUGCAAACUUGCUAGGACUGUCAC
rnacentral:lncRNA from 1 species